UAAUUUGAUGUUGAUGUUUUGUUUUCCAUAUUUGCUCCAUAAAUAAGUAGAAAGUUUCAAACAACAUUUCAAAAAUGGGAGAAGUGGAAGAGCAGAAUUACUUUUACAUUUUAUUUUAAUACUAGAAAAGGGACCUUAAAUAUGUAAAUUUUCAAAGUAACUGCUGCCUAUUUUGCUGAUUAGUUAAUGGUGCUUUAUGUAUCUACUGUUCUCUUGGUCACCUCUAAUUUCUUUACCACAUUGUUGCAUUAAAAAAUUACUGAUUUACUUGCUUUAAAAAUGGUAAUUAAUAACUUCUUUUUGCCCGUUUCUAUAGAUUAUCCAACAAAUGAAAAGGAAGAGGUCAAAAGCUCUUCACCUUGCACAAGAUUAUGCAGUAAAUUUUGAACUUGCGAGGAGGGAGGCAACUGAAUAUUAAUUUGGAAACUACUGAACUCAAAUUAUCUGCAGUGGCAUUUCUCCCCAAUUUGGCUUGCUCAUCACACUUGUAUACUCUAGAACGCUACUUUCUGCAGUUAAUUAAGAUUUUCCAAUAAGUGAAAAAGAAUUAAACAUCAGUUUGGUCAUGCUAAAACAACUGAUGUCUACAUGGGUGGCGUUUUGCUGGACUUCAUUGUUGAUUUGCUGUUUUCGUCUUCACCUUCCAACAUUAUGCAGUUCUUAAUGGAGGAGUGAGAGCAACUGGAGAUUUAUUUGAAGUCUACUAAAACGAUAAAUUUUCUGCUAUGGUAUUCGUCUUGAAUUUGAUUCUGCAGUUAAUUAAGGUUUUCCAACAAGUGAAAGAGAAAGAUUCGUUUGGUCAUUCUGAAACACCGAUGUCUACACGUGGGUGGCGUUUUCCUGGACUUCAUUGUUAAUUUGCUGUUUUCGUCUUCACCUUCCAGCAUUAUGCAGUUAAUUCUCAACGGAGCAGUGAGAGCAACUGGAGAUUUAUAAGAAGUCUACUGAAAUGGCAAAUUUGGUG